rnacentral:rRNA from 1 species
CCUACGGGCGGCAGCAGUGGGGAAUAUUGGACAAUGGGGGCAACCCUGAUCCAGCCAUGCCGCGUGUGUGAAGAAGGCCCUCGGGUUGUAAAGCACUUUCAGUGAGGAAGAACGCCUGGUGGUUAAUACCCAUCAGGAAAGACAUCACUCACAGAAGAAGCACCGGCUAACUCCGUGCCAGCAGCCGCGGUAAUACGGAGGGUGCGAGCGUUAAUCGGAAUUACUGGGCGUAAAGGGCGCGUAGGUGGCUUGAUAAGCCGGUUGUGAAAGCCCCGGGCUCAACCUGGGAACGGCAUCCGGAACUGGCAAGCUAGAGUGCAGGAGAGGAAGGUAGAAUUCCCGGUGUAGCGGUGAAAUGCGUAGAGAUCGGGAGGAAUACCAGUGGCGAAGGCGGCCUUCUGGACUGACACUGACACUGAGGUGCGAAAGCGUGGGUAGCAAACAGGAUUAGAUACCCUAGUAGUC